UCUUGUUCGCCUGAAGGAUCGCUCGGCUGCCCAAUCAGAGCGCAGAUACCGAUGCGCGCCGGAAGAAGGCUGCAGCAGCAGCAGAGCACAGCACACGGGACCGAAAUGGCGUAGCGCGCAGCGGGGCCAGGCUCAUCGAACAUCUCAGAGCCUGGCCCGUCCUACUCAACCGACGAGUAUGAUGGAGGUGACUUUUAGUUCCAGUUCACUCGCUUCGAAACCAGCACGAGAUCACCAGAGACGUGCUCUUCAUAUGUCAUAUCAAGAAGAGAACGAAACAGUCAUGAAAGGAACUCAUGACCAGAUGAGACCGUCAUGUCUUUGUUCUUCAAACUGCUCUCCAUCCCGAUAAGUUGACUUUCCUCCAGCAUUGUUUCAGGGAAAUGUUUGUUCAUUGGUCUAUGAACAUAUCAUCUCUGCACUUUGGAGACGACAACUGAAGUUGUUUUUAUCCAUGAAAGAACCAUAAGCUCUUCAUGUGUCCAAAAGAAGUAACACAAUUGUGCCACAGUACAGAGCCAUCUUCUGGUCAUAUUUGUUAUAAAUAAUGUCCAGUGUAGUAUUUAUAUGAUUGCAGGUUGUGUUAAAAGUGAAAAUGGAAAUAGUGGAAGCGCACUUGCUUUGCAGGUAAAACAAAUGCACAUUUCAAAACUAAAUCAUGCAAGCAAGAUGAAGUAGCUUCAUCCAACAGUUUUAUUAUCUGCAGAUUAAGUGCCUAGACAUGUCUUUUUUUUUUUUAAAGCUCCCAUCUACCGAUUGUCUAUUUACAUUGCUUAGCUUUAAACCUACCAGUAAAGCACUCUUUGGUCAUUUAUUUAGUUUUGAAAAUGGCUGAAAAUGUAAUUUCUGAGACAACAAACUGUAGACAGAUAGCUGUUCUCUUCAUUCAGAACUCAUAUUGGUGCUUUUGCAAAACCAUGAACCAUGCUUUCAUGUUUUCUAUGUACUUGUACUGACAAACCAAGACAGAGAGUGGCACACUGACCUGAGCAUAAGCUUUAUAAAUUCCACAGUUAAACCUUUCUAGUGGGGGUGGGGUGCUAAUGAGAUGCAGGACAUAAUGAAAUAUAAUUAUUUUACUACCUCAGAAGUUACCACAGCUCAGACCCACACAGCGAGCACUCCGAUCAAACUAUAUUCACAUGCUUUUCUCACAGUGAUGUAAAUAGAGUCAUUGUCUGUCAGAUGGUUUGGAAAUCAGUUGGAAGAGUGAGCGUGUUUCUUUUCACUUCAUGUAUGUUAUUUUAUUAAUAGGUUUGGGAAUAUCACACAAAUCAUAUAGAGACCUUGUAGUUCACUGGUCGGACACUGUCGGCCAAAAGUUUGGAAUAAUUACGUUUUUUAACUAUUUUUGAAAGAAGUCUCUUCUGCUCACCAAGGCUGCAUUGAUUUGAUGAAAAUACAGUAAAACAGUAAUACCGGGAAAUAACUAAUAAUUUGAAAAUUUUUUAAAGUAAUUUUUUCCUGUGAUGGCAAAGCUGAAUUUUUUAGCAGACAUUACUUGGUGUCAUGAUCCUUCAUUAUUGUUGUCAGUGUUGAAAUCAGUUUUUGCUGCUUAAGAUUUGAGACCAUGACAUAUUUUUACAGGAUUUUUUGAGCAAUAGAAAGUUAAUUGAACA
ensembl:lncRNA